rnacentral:lncRNA from 1 species
GCUUGUUAAUGGAUGUUUAAUUUGUCCCUUAGGACCCCAUAUCCGUGCUAUAGUUAUGAUGCUCAGUUUAGUGUUAGAACUCUCAACAAUCUUCCAGAAGUCUAGAUGUGGUCACAGAGAGACAAAUGGCUGGGAUCUACAGCCGAGUCUAGCUAGCCAGACUGUGAAUCUCUGAUCCAUGAAGCGUCCAGCCACAGUGUGAGGAGCAGCAGCAGACGGACCUGUCCCUUCGCCUAGGGACUCUAAACCAGUCUCUGCCUCCCACCAGGGGUUGCGUGUUCUCACACAGACCUCUCGUUUCUGACAGGUCUGGAGGUUGAAGAAUCCACUGUCUAUUCACGCAUGAUCCAGGCGGCUGCACAGCAGAAAGAUACCCAUCUCACCAUCACCCCAACAGUGCUGGGGGAGAGGCACCUGCCAGACCAGCUGGCCUCUGUGACUAGAAUCUCCUCCUCUGACCUUUCCCUGGGCCAUGUGACCCGGGCCCUAUGCAGAGGCAUUGUUCAGAACCUGCACUCCAUGCUUCCUUUUCAACAGCUCCAAGAGUGGGGUGUGGAACGGGUGGUGGGGAGUGGAAGUGCAUUGUCCAGGAAUGAGGUCCUGAAGCAGGAGGUCCAGAGGGCAUUUCCUUUCCCAGUGUGCUUUGGGCAGGAUGUAGAUGCAGCCUUCGGGGCAGCUUUGGUCAUGCUCCGGAGAGACAUCAGCUAGAAGGAGCCUUAGUUCUUCAAGCUCGUUGCCUUAAGGAAAUGCUGGGAAUCUUACCUAAUUGACAAUGUCAUCAUGAUCUCUGGGUUGUCCUUUUCUGGGAUGGUUCUGUGGGCAGACUGUAAAUUAUACUUGAUCUUGAGGUGCUAUCUAGACUGAUAAAGAUCUUCCCUUCAGGGCAUAUGGUAAUCAUACAGCCAGGAAGCUCUAACCAGACCCCAAGCUAGUGCCUUCCAAGAAUAGGAUCUUCCGAGAGCUGAUUGCAAUUGCAGAUGUGGGGGGAGGAGAGCAAGGGAGGGAAGAAAAUGGGAUGAGGGAGAGGAAGAAAGAAACAAACAGCUUCCUGGUCACUAGGCUCGGCUGUGAUUCAGUCAUAGACAGAAGGAAAAGAAAGAUGACUUAUGCAGCCAUGGCUCCAGCUAAGCAAAGAAGACCUGGUUUAUGCCCAGCGUUUGGACUGGUCCAGUUUUGUGUCAAAUGCAUUACUGGAAAAAUCCUCCCUGCCCUGUUGUAGCAGGUGGCUGGAGUCUCCUCUCCUAGUCUUGGGAAAUAGAAGGAUCCUUACUUAGUUCAGCAAGUUCCUUGUCUAAAGGAAUGCUGGGAACCUCAUCUAACCAGUCAGCUUGAUAGCCCUGUCAGUUGAAGGGACCAGCUAUAGCAUGUUCUCCAGUCAGAGAGAGAUCGAAGACAUGAAGCAACACGCAUUGGAGGAGGAAGCCAAGGUCUGUGUGCUUGCCUUGCUGUGUGCUUCAGGAAACGUGCUGCACCAUGGUUACCUCGAGUCCUCUCAACACAACCGGCUUAAAGGCACGUCCCAGAGAAGGGAAGGCAGGUGGCACGAACAGCUAAAGGGACCACAGAGCACUGUGACCAACACCGUCUGACAGACUGUUUUCAAGAUGGCAGCAAGGCACCCUAGCCCCUUUCUAUGACUAUGUAUGGCCACCUGUCUCCCUAACCCCUGCUACAAGAGGUGACCAGUUUCAUGAGAGAACCCUUAACCCACAGGUCCCACCCCUUUCUCCAUGGUGAAGAUCUUGCUGGCCUCUGGUGGUUCUGGCCCAGCAGAAAUGUCCUGUUCAGAUGGGCAUGCAUCUAGGGUCAGAGAACCACCAGUCUUUCCACAUUACAGUACCUCCGAGGAGAGGGUCACCAUCACUGUGUCUACUCCUAGACUCCUAAAGUACCCAAGGCUCGGAGGCACCUGUGACUUUUGGGGAGAAACCAUGUUGUCUCUUUGUAAGAGUCAUUUUAUAAGGAAUAUUAUUGUGGUAACCCCUUUGAUGAAUUUACCUCCCACUGCUGGCUAUCUGAAUAAAUUUCAUUUUUUUUCCAGA